rnacentral:rRNA from 1 species
UAAUACGUAGGGGGCGAGCGUUGUCCGGAUUUAUUGGGCGUAAAGAGCGUGUAGGCGGCUUGGUAGGUCUGCUGUGAAAACUCGGGGCUCAACCCCGAGACGUCGGUGGAAACCACCUGGCUAGAGUCCGGAAGAGGAGAGUGGAAUUCCUGGUGUAGCGGUGAAAUGCGCAGAUAUCAGGAAGAAUAUCCGUGGCGAAGGCGGCUCUCUGGGACGGUACUGACGCUGAGACGCGAAAGCGUGGGGAGCGAACAGGAUUAGAUACCCUGGUAGUCCACGCCGUAAACGAUGGGUGCUAGGUGUGGGUGGUGUCGACUCCAUCCGUGCCGAAGCUAACGCAUUAAGCACCCCGCCUGGGGAGUACGGCCGCAAGGCUA